rnacentral:rRNA from 1 species
AGUCACUGACAUUAGAUACCCGUGUAGUCCCAGCCGUAAACUAUGCGCGUUAGGUGUACUGGUGACCACGAGUCACCGGGGUGCCGAAGGGAAACCGUGAAACGUGCCGCCUGGGGAGUACGUCCGCAAGGAUGAAACUUAAAGGAAUUGGCGGGGGAGCACCGCAACGGGAGGAGCGUGCGGUUUAAUUGGAUUCAACACCGUAAAACUCACCAGGGAAGACUGUUACAUGAAGGCCGAGAUGUAAGACUCUGCUAGAUUUUCAG